AUACCUACAAGGCAAGAGUGAAGAAGCAUCUUCUAGGCAAGCGCACUCCAGUCUAGACCACAUCAUUGCU